rnacentral:misc_RNA from 1 species
GAUGAAGAACGCAGCGAAAUGCGAUAAGUAAUGUGAAUUGCAGAAUUCAGUGAAUCAUCGAAUCUUUGAACGCACAUUGCGCCCCCUGGUAUUCCGGGGGGCAUGCCUGUCCGAGCGUCAUUACAACCCUCAAGCUCAGCUUGGUGUUGGGCCCCGCCGCCCCGGCGGGCCCUAAAGUCAGUGGCGGUGCCGUCCGGCUCCGAGCGUAGUAAUUCUUCUCGCUCUGGAGGUCCGGUCGUGUGCUUGCCAGCAACCCCCAAUUUUUUUCAGGUUGACCUCGGAUUAGGUAGGGAUACCCGCUGAACUUAAGCAUAUCAAUAAGCGGAGGA